GUGCCUGCAGGCAGGUUUGCAGCUAAUGUGCAGCAUGAUGUACGCAGCUGCUACAUUUGGUGUCUUCUCUGCAUCCAGGAAUAUUUCAUUUCUCACCUAAUGAAGCUUCUUCCUGUUGGGCUUUACAAUGUGGCAACUCUGCAUGUGUAGAGUUGUAGGGUAGCAGAGAGGGGUGUCCACAUCUAGACCCACCCAGGCAGAACAAAUGUGUCUGAAGGCCUCAUCAAAAUAAAAUUGUAGAAGUUAUGAAAUUAGCAGAUAGGUUUGUAGCCAGCCCAGGAGAUUUUUGCCAUUGUGUUUUCCCAGCUGUCUUCCCCAACUUUAGUUAGAACGUAUCUAGCGUUUCCAUGUGGGAACUUGGGUGCCCCAGCUAUCCCACAAUGUUUGCAAAGCUUCUUACUCAACCAGGUGCAGGCCUUCCCUUCUAAGAAGGAUCCACCAACACUGCCUGAUUUAUUUCCUAGAUGUCUAAGGGCUAUUCUUGCUCUUUUUCUCAUGGGGGACAUCCACAAUCUCUUCCAGGACAUCCUAGCGCAGCUUGCUCAACAGACUGGCUAGGCUGGCCACUGCCUGUGGCUGGGAUCCCUUCCAUUCAAGGGAUUACCAUCCCCAUCUAUAUCCACCUGUGA
rnacentral:lncRNA from 1 species